rnacentral:rRNA from 1 species
GACGAACCGUGCGAACGUUGUUCGGAUUCACUGGGCUUAAAGGGCGCGUAGGCGGACCCAAAAGUCCGGGGUGAAAUCUUUCGGCUUAACCGGAAAAUCGCCUUGGAUACUGUGGGUCUCGAGGGAGGUAGGGGCAUGCGGAACUGUAGGUGGAGCGGUGAAAUGCGUUGAUAUCAUCAGGAACACCGGAGGCGAAGGCGGCUCACUGGGGAUUUUCUGACGCUGAGGAACGAAAGCCAGGGGAGCGAACGGG